AUCGCUUCUCGGCCUUUUGGCUAAGAUCAAGUGUAGUAUCUGUUCUUAUCAGUUUAAUAUCUGAUACGUCCUCUAUCCGAGGACUAAAAAAAAAAAAAUAAUAAAGAAAGAUAAUUGUCUUAUGACAUUGUGUUGAUUUCUGCCAUUCUGCAGCAUAAAUUGCCACAAGUGAAUAUCCC
ensembl:snRNA U2 U2 spliceosomal RNA